CUGUCAUGUAUUAUACACGAUUAUUGAUAUGUUUCUUAGCUGUGAGUGUGUGUAAGAUAUCUGAAGGGUUCGAGGCUGUAAAAGUUAUCGCUCACGAAUAUUAUGACGACGUCAGUAGAGAGGAUUUGACAAAACCGCUAUCAGACUCCAGUUCUGUCGAGAUGCCUGACGAAGAAGCCGAAAAAUUAGUCGGCGGUGCAUAUUGGGACAGUAAUUCUGACGAGCGCGAGCUACUAUCUCCAAGAGUGAUGAGUGUUCCGAUUAAGAAGAAAAUGUGUAUGUUAACUCCACCCAGAGAAUAUUGUGUGGAACAGAUAAAGAAAAUUAGUAAUAAAAAUGUUAAAAGUU